AGAAAAGUAUUUAAAUUUUAUAAAAUCUAAUUUGCAUUUAGAAAUUGUGUAUACCUUUUCUG
rnacentral:tRNA from 1 species